UUAGACAAUUUAAUUUCAAUGCGAAAGUGGUUUCGGUAAUCUCGCGCAGUACACAUAAUACAGGCAUACACUUCUUAUUUCAAUUUUAAUACGUGGUUCAUACCUGUCGGGAUGAACGGUUUAUCGACUAGUCAGACGAGCGCUUCAAUAUUUAUUAAAUUAAUAAAUGUAUUAAAGCUUACAUUCAACACUAUACAUUCUACACAGAAUACAGUGUAUAAGGAAAUAUUCACCUGCUUCUUUAUAAUCGUACUGUUGGAUGACGUAGACUCAGAAAAUGACGACCGUGUGCCAGCAUUCGGAAUCCUUCGCCGACACGAAUCUAAAGAUGCUUGAUGAUGAGCAUUUGUGUGACGUCAUAUUAGCUGCCGGAAACGACCACAAUCGUCUGAAAUGUCACAAAUUUAUUCUGCAGUCGCAGUCCGGUGUUUCACGCCAUGUUUUGCGGCGCACUUGCUGAGUCAAGUAACGUCAUCAACAUACCGGAUAUCGAAGAGCCUAUUCUGAGGAUUCUAGUGAGGUAAUCGAUUUCAAACGGCCAGAGGACUUUAUAUUUGUUGUGAACAAUUAAGAUAUUCUAGUGUACAGGGAAAAUAAGUCUAAUAAUACACUUUACGCACAAGAGAACCUGGGAUCGGUAAAAUAGGCUCUAGAUCAAAUGUUGCAACAUGUUAUGACUUGUUUUGUUUUGCACGAGACUUAUCCGACUUCUUUUUAUCUCAAGCUCUGUUUUUGUUUUUGAUCUGGUCUUUUAAAGUCGGUGAUCAGCUCGCAUGCUCCUUAUUUCUAUAUACAUCGGACACUUGUCCUUUUUGGUUAUAUGGAAUGAAUAGGUAAACUCCUCACAGAAAAUGUGUACGAUACAUUAAACUUGAUAUGUAUUGCCUGUCCGUUUCUUUACACUUUUCUUUGUAAAAUUAAUAUAUUUUACUAAUAUUAAAAUCAGAUCCUUGAAAACGCCUUUUAGUGUAUUGGCGUGUAUAAUGUGCUUCUACUGUAGGAAAUAAUUAUAUAUGAUUACGAACAUCUAUGAUUGCAUCUGGGGUUUUGUUAUGGGGAGUGUGCUUUCCACGCGUGUCAAAGGAAGCAAAUGUUCCUGAAGAUAGUGAUUUCAGUGCUGUAUCUAUCAUUAUGCCACCAAUAGCUAACAUCUUCUGGAAGAAGCUUUGUAACACGAUAAGCGAUAUACUCUGGAAAUAGCUCUGCGCUUUGAUGAGUGUGUCCUUACACGACUCGGCACAUCCUCCGUUAAUGGCAAUCGUAAAAUAUUGAAGCCAAUCCCUGAAUGAUGUGAAUAUGCCAAGGUUGGAUUAACCUAUAUCCCGAUCAGACUAGAUCAUUUAAUACAAAUGUAUGCCCAGUGUCUGGCAUAAAAAUAGUAACAAAGGUUUUAAUUCAAAUUCCUCAUGCAUAAUACUAGUAUGCUUAUUUUGUUUAAACUUAUUAUGUGUGUAUUAUAAACUGGUAGGAGGGAAACGUAUAUGUGUUCUCCCUUUUAUGUGCGUGAAUACCAUUUUGAACCUGAGUAAAAUACUUUGUAAUUAUUUUCCAAGGAGAUAAACUUGCACUUUCUGUCGCAGAAUAUUAUUGUAUUUGUAUACCGUCUUGUUAUACCAUUAGACCCUAACAUAUUGACUGAUUGUAUUCAUAAAUGUAGCAUUAUUUGUGUUUAAUAAUAUUUCUAUGUUUCUUAUUGGCUUUUGUGGUCAUGUGCUUCAUUUAAAUAUUGUCUAUGUAGCAACAGAUAUACUUGCGUAGUAAAAUAUAACACCCUGA